rnacentral:rRNA from 1 species
UGGAUCAUCUACCUCUUAGUGGGGAAUAGCCCUGGGAAACCGGGGAUAAUACCGCAUAAGUCCUUUGGGAGAAAGCAGCAAUGCGCUGAGAGAGGAGUCCGCGGCCGAUUAGCUAGUUGGCAGGGUAAAAGCCUACCAAGGCAUCGAUCGGUAGCCGGCCUGAGAGGGUGACCGGCCACACUGGGACUGAGACACGGCCCAGACUCCUACGGGAGGCAG